rnacentral:rRNA from 1 species
GAUGAACGCUGGCGGCGUGCCUAAUACAUGCAAGUCGAGCGCACGGACGAGAAGCUUGCUUCUCUGAUGUUAGCGGCGGACGGGUGAGUAACACGUGGAUAACCUACCUAUAAGACUGGGAUAACUUCGGGAAACCGGAGCUAAUACCGGAUAAUAUUUUGAACCGCAUGGUUCAAAAGUGAAAGACGGUCUUGCUGUCACUUAUAGAUGGAUCCGCGGUGCAUUAGCUAGUUGGUAAGGUAACGGCUUACCAAGGCAACGAUGCAUAGCCGACCUGAGAGGGUGAUCGGCCACACUGGAACUGAGACACGGUCCAGACUCCUACGGGAGGCAGCAGUAGGGAAUCUUCCGCAAUGGGCGAAAGCCGGACGGGGCAACGCCGCGUGAGUGAUGAAGGUCUUCGGAUCGUAAAACUCUGUUAUUAGGGAAGAACAUAUGUGUAAGGAACUGUGCACAUCUUGACGGUACCUAAUCAGAAAGCCACGGCUAACUACGUG